CCGUGCUAAGCGGGGAGGUAGCGGUGCCCUAUACUCGCAAUCCGCUCUAGCGAGGCCGAAUCCCUUCUCGAGGUUAUGCUGCUGUAAGGUCUGCCUUAAGUAAGUGGUGUUGACGUUUGGGUCCUG
rnacentral:SRP_RNA from 1 species